UUUUUUUUUUUUUUUUUUGGGGUGCUAAGGAGGAGCAAAAGUCAACAAGAGAACUACAUCAAGAUGCUCCUACUAUGAGCAAUAACACAAGAAUCAUGCAUGAGCCAACUGCCAAAACCUAAAGAAGAAGCUUCAAGCCGCAUGUUAUUAGACACCAGAUAGGUCAAACAAGAUCCUCAUUGUUAUCACUUAAUUCCAGGACUAACAAAAGUGGAUGACAUGAGCUGUGAUGUUUGAUGAAAAUAGAAAAAGCAACAGUAAUUGGAAGGGAGAAAAGGGAAGAAGAGGAUGAGAAGUCAUUUGUGAAACAAAUGCUCCAAAUGUAAUCAAAAUAGGAUAUGGAUUCCAUAAUGCCGCCUUCCAAAAGUGCAAAUUCAAAUUCAUAUUUUCCCAAUUACAAAUGAAAGUACAUUAUUGAAUAAUGACAUCUACCACAGGAAUGAAUUGCUCAAACAACAUUUACAUAGGUUAUGUCAAAAGCCCCAUUGUUCAAAACUUAACAACUAGGAAGUCUCAUUGUGUACAAAACUUACAGUGCUUUCUUCCACCCUUGGGAUGCGAUUGGUCAAAACGGCAAAAUGCAACAAAUAUGAUUGUGCAUCUACUGCUCAUGCUGGCUAAAUGCAAAUCUAAUAAAAGUGAACCAGCUUUCUCCAACAAGAUAAUUAAUGUGGCUUUUUACAGAAACGUUUAACACCAGCAUCUGAUAUGUCAAAUAAAUGUUUUGAAUUUACAUUAUUAAUUAUUUAAAAUGAAAUUUUGCUAGAAACAAAAUGAUGCUCCAUAGAUUGAAACAUUUGUAAUAUUAGAUGAAUUUUUGGUGGAGGCUACUAAUGCAUGAGAAUCUGCAACAUCAUAGCAUGAUAACCAGCUUCAUAAAUGCAUUUAUUUAUUUAUUCAAAAAGACUAGGAAUCAAUGUGUAUAAUAAACAAAACACAUAGAAUGGGCUAUAUUACUUAACUAACCCUUAAAUCCCAAAACAGUUGGGGCACAAAAUCAGAAUGAAAAGUAAGACAUAAUGCAAUUUUCCAAAAUCUUGAAGAAGAAGAAGUAACUUGCUUGUAUAUAAAAGGAUUUGAG
rnacentral:misc_RNA from 1 species